rnacentral:lncRNA from 10 species
CAGGUCUCCUAUAAAAUGCAUUGUUAAGCAAUUCAUCUCCUAGUUUUUACAAAUUGUCACAACUCUCCAAAAAUUUUCUGAUAUAUUUGUGGAGAAAGACCCACAUGUAAGUGAACCAACAGAGUUCAAACACAUGUUGUUUUAAGGGUCAACUAUAUAGCUAAAACCAAGACUCUUGAUUUGAGAGACAGAGGAACCUGUGAUAUUCUUUGCAAAAUUUGUCAACUGUACACCCUGUGAAAAGAGAGAAGAGAACCAAAAGACCUCUCGAGCAAAAGAUAUUGCCACAAAGUCCUCCAGAAACCAUACCACUUCUUGACAGUGCAUGGAUUCUCUUCCAUUCCAUUAGCAUCAGUGAUACUUUUAAUGGGUGUGGAAGGCCGUGAGAACUGGAAGCUGUUCUGCCACUAUCAAAGGGGGCUCACCUGAUUUGGAAAAGUGAGCACUGGCAACACCCAUGCCCAACCGUGUUGUCAGUGGAAGUGAUCAUCUUGGACACAAGAUGUUGCUCUUGUUAAUUGCACUCUGCAAGUGGUAAGCAUCUGGACCUGCAUUUCAUUACAAAACUACCAAAACAGAAUUCUAUAUCCAGUGAAACUAUCCUUCAAAAAUGAAGGCUAAAUAAGGAUGUUCCCAGAUUAAUAAAGACUGAGAGAAUUUGCUGUUAGCAAAUCUACCUUCUAAGAAAUACUAAAGGAAGACCUUCAAUGCUGAAAGGAAAUGACACCAGAUCCAGAACUACGGGAAGAAAUGUAGAGCAACGGAAAAGGGCUGGGCCAUACAGUAUGUACUCAAGAUUUAGUAGUUAAUUGACUGAUUGAACUUUAUAGAGAAGUACAGAUACAAUAUUACGGAAAUUCAGAGGAGAGAAAUUACUAACAACUUGAGCAGGUGGAAAAGCAUUGAAGCUUGGUAGAGAAGAUGGUGGAACUGUGCAGCAUUGAGACAUGUCCAGUUGGAGAGAUAUGAAGCUGGGUGAAAGUAGUACAAGAGGAGGCAACUGAAUGUACAACGGCAAAGAGAAAGAAGAAUCAGUGGAUGUGCAGAGGAAAGAGUGUGCAGGGAGCUUCCGGUAGCUGCCACAAUCCUUGGCUAGUGACCCCUUCCACCAUCUUCAAAGUCAGCAUCAAUCUUUAAAAAGCAUCUAUAACCCACUGAAUAAGAUGGGUUAGAAGAUGAAGCUGCUGAGAAGUGCUGCAAAGCUGAUGGUAUUGAUAUCAACACAGACAUCAUAUGCUUUUGGGGAACAGUGCACUCAGUUGACACUUAUUCCUAAUAAAUUCAAACAGUGGAGAGUUCUCUAACUUAUUUUUAAAGUCUCUUUAAUCUAUACUUCCUAUUGUUGAAUGAUACAAAUUAGUUUCUUGAUCUCUGUUCAGAUACUGGGUUACAUACAAUUUUUGGCCAUUUAAGUAUACUGUAAAUCCCUCCAGAAAACUUUCUUAUAUUGUCUUGUGCUUCACAGCUAGUUUUCAGGCAUAUGUACUGCUUACAAAUUAGUUUGGUAUUUAAAAAGGAGUUGUGGCUUGAGUUACAAAGAUUUAAAGUUAAAGCAAUGCUCUUAAUAAUUUCUAUUUUCUCACUGAAUCAAUUCACACUAGACACCCCUUUAACUUCCAUAUACAUGAUCACUCACCUUCUGUCCAAAAAUCUAUUUUAGGAAAGAGCAGAAGUACAAGAGGACCUUGUAAACAAUACUACUAAUAUUAGUAGGAAUACGGCAAGGUUUAAGAGUGACAACUUUAGCUUCACUACUUUCAAGCUGCUUACUAGCUGGGACAAGUUGUAUAAAUUCUCCGAGCCCAUUUUCCUCAUUUAAAAAAGGGGCCAUAGACAUUUUUCCAAAGACAUACAAAUGGCCAACAAGCACAUGAAAAGAUGCUCAAUAUAGUUAACCAUUAGGGAAAUAUAAAUAAAAAACACAAUUUCAACCACAAUAGUACUACAUACACAUUAGAAUAAUUAUGUUAAAAAUAAAAAAAUAACAAGUGCUUUCAAGAAUGUAGAGAAAUUGGAACCUCUGCAUUACUGAUAGGAAUGUAAAAUGGUACAGUCUCUUUGGAAAGCAGUCUGAUAGUUCCUCAAAAGGUUAGACAUAGAAUGACCGAAUGACCCAGCAAUUCUACUCCUAGGUAUACACAAGAGAAAUGGAAACAUAUGUCCACACAUAAAUUUGUACAUGAAUGCUCACAGCAGCAUUGUUCAUAAGAGCCACAGAAUACAAAUGAUCAAAAUGUCAGUCAACUAACUAAUGAAUAAAUAAAAUGUGGUCGAUUAUUAUUUAGCAAUGAAAAGGAGUGAAGUACUUAUACAUGCAAUAACAAUGACUGAACCUUGAUAACACUAUGCUAAAUGUAAGAAGCCUAUCACAAAAGACCACAUGUUACAUAUUUUAUUCAUAUUAAAUAUCCAGAAUAGGCAAAUCUAUAGUUACAGAUAGUUGAUUAAUAACUACCUAAAGCUGAGGAUGGGGUGAGGCUGAGGGACUGAGGAGUGACUG